rnacentral:snRNA from 1 species
GUGUUCGCUUCAGCAGCUCAUAUACUAAAAUUGGAAGGACACAGCAUGGGCCCUGUGCAGGGAUGACUCACAAAUUUAUGAAGCCGUCCAUGCUUUU